GGCAUUUGAUGAAUGCAAUUAAUCAUCCAAUCAUGUUGACGCCAGAUGCAAGAUGCGAGUAUAGGCUAGUUGCCUAUUCUCUUGUAAAACACCAUCAAAAUUUCCAGUUGGAGAUCAUGGUUAACAAGAGGUUAGGACAAGAGCUUUCACCCAAAAAAAAUUCUCGAUGGUCUUGGAUGGAAAGAAUUCAUGGGAAGGAGUUUGAGACAAUAUUGCAUUACCAACAUAACCAAACACUACCUCCAUCGCCUCCAUCGCAGUUGCCCCUGCCGCAGUUCGGGUCUCUUCCUCCUCCACAACCACAACAACAGAUGUAUGUGCAGCCACAGCAGCAACCACCAUAGACACAGCUGCCCCAAACACAGCCACAGCUGCCAUCUCCAUCAAUUGACUACAGCAAUACACCUGUGUCUUUCCUAAAAUAUAACAGAAAUGCAGUCACACACGUCAAAGAUUAUGAUCGUCGCAUAACAAAUGAUACUAUCGAUCGGACUUUGAGCUCUUUCGUGCCAGAAUUCAUGCCUCUAUUACAUGAAGUUCUCACUAGGCUUGGUGUUUUUGUCAGACCUCUUCCAGUUACCAUAUAAUGUGUGUUCUAUCAGGCUUCUGGUUGCUUUUGUUGUGGAUUUGAGUUCUUUUCUUCCACAAUUCAAGCCUUCCUCACCAAGCUUGGUACUUUUGUCAGAUAUCUUUCUAAUUACCAUGUAAUGUCUGUGUUCUUCUAUCAGGCUUCUUGUUGCUGUAAGAAUUUGAUUAUUACUAUUUUUUGGUUUAACUAUCAGACUUGAUUGUUAUUAUUUUUGUUAUUAAUCAUAUGCCGUUUGUAUUUGUUGGUGACCUAACAGAUGUAAUAUUUCUCACUUCCUUCU